rnacentral:lncRNA from 1 species
UAAGACCUGGAUCCACACAUUCAAGUGCAGGGCAAUGGCCGUGCCCCAUUUCAUACUUUUUUGUGAUUGGUUUCUGACAAGCUUUCUAUUGAGAUGUGUUCCUCUGCAGCUGGACUUCCUGCAGGUACGUCAUCUCCGCUGAGGUACCAAACUCUGCAGCUGAGUUGCCUCGAAGUGCAUCCUGAAAUUGCAUCUGUUGUAUGUUGUAGUCUGCACAUCGUGACGGGAAGUCCUGAUUACACGUUAAAUGACAAGUUCUAUAGCCUCUCGCCUAACAUUUUGUGUAGAAUUUCCAGAAGUUUCAAUAAGUGUUCUCAUCAAGAGCAGUCUUCACUACUCGCCUUACAAAAACUUCACACGAGAGUAGACGAGAUGAACGACUCAGGGUGAGAGAAGUUCUGAUAAUUAUGAUGAACUUCUGGAAAUUUUUGAAAUCGACAGUGGUUCUGAGUCAGUCGCAGAUUGUUUAUAUACAAUCGAAAGUGAAAGACACACGUUUAAUAAUACUUGCAUUCCACAUCUUUGCAUCGAUUGAGAAGAUUACUGAAUGCUGCGCACCUUUUCGAAGAUAUUCUAUGUGGUACUGAGGUCGCCUCAUGUGAUAUUUCGUGCUAGUCAGUUGAACAUAAUCACUGAGCUGAGAUAAAGAGCUGUAUGACUUGUUUCAUGAUUUGGUUCGCCCGUUGACACGGCUUUUCAUU